UUGAAUUGACAAGAACAAGUUUGCCUGUGAGCUGUGGCGAUAUGAUCCUUACACCGCUUGCUCCCUCUUGAUUACAUCGCACAAAGAAGCCACCUGCGGCUUCUAUCCACGAAGACUAACAUGCCUCGGCUACUGUGGUGUAUGGAGCAAAGCAGUACCGCUGGAGUGAGUUGUGUGUAGAAGCUUGCGCAGCAACGAAGCUGUCUGUAGGGCAC
rnacentral:lncRNA from 1 species